UCUAACUUCGAAAACCAAAAAAAAAAUCCCUCUCCCUAAGAUUUGGCUCUCAUUGGGUCUAAGCCCUAGAUCCUCGACUGUCUUGUUACGAUAGCGGGCAAAGUGUCCGAUUUACACGGGCAGGUUGCGCGAGGUAACCAUUGACAUUACUCUAGUACGAGGGGCAGGUGGCCCCUUGUGUGGGUUGAGCUUUCCUCUUGUCGUAGAGUGUCCUGUAAGUUUGGUAUAGGCCUCAUCUAGGAAGGGCCCAUCGGUAUGGUCUCGGGUGCGUUGGGUAGGUACACGAACCCUUCGACCUUAAGACCAGUUAGGUGGGCGGGACAGUCGCCCUACCUUCCGCAGCGCGUGCGUGUUUUGUUUUUUGAAAGCAUCUAAUAAGGGUAGUCCACGUGGCCCACUCAUAACUUCCAGAACGUUUCAACUUCCUGAAAACACCACCUAAAACUGUCUUGUAGGUAGCGGUGCUUGAGUUUAUGCAUUCCGUUUUCCCUGUUGCUUGCUGUGGCUUUGGGUUUGCUUGUUCCUUCUUAAGUUUUCUGGUGGUUUUGGUAACGUUUAAUGGUUAUGUUGAUAUGUGUUUAGUGGAUUUCCAACGGUUGUGGCCUUGGUUGAUACCUUGAGUGGUUCUACGCUACGAUCGUGUUUGGUGGUAUUUGGUGGCUCGGUUUUUGCAAAGGAAAGUGCGACUGUGGUGUUCUGUUUUACAAGCUCGGAGGGUCUUAUGGCGACCACCUAUGAUGACCUAUAUCCUUGGGCACCCGUGGGUCUUCGAAGGAAUAUGUCAAGCUUCACCUUCGACCAGAUCAUAGAUCAGUUUUGUUGAAGGCAGAAGUUGUGCCAGGGUAAUGAGGCGGAUGUUGUUGUCGUUCGUUGUGCUCUAGACGAGCCUAUGUGUGCUAACGCCACUAGUGACCCUUCAUGACCGUUUUUCUAUUUUUAUUAUACUGUGUUUUCAAAGGUCGAUCUGCGUCUGUCCUUAAGUUCUUUCGAAAAGGGGGUGCUAACCGAGUUGAAUGUGGUCCCUACUCAACUUCACCCGAACAACUGGGCCUUCAUCCAAGCAUUUCACAUACUAUGUACUCACAUACAAGUGCGCCUUUGGUGUCCGUCAGCUGACAUCUCCGAGGCAGAUGCGAGUAAGGUGGUCGUUGACGGGUGUUUAGUGGAUGAAUGAUCUCACACAAAUUUUGUGCUUUUGAUACUGUUUUUUAACGUAUAUGCCUGUCUCGAAUUUACUCUCAUGAUUCCUUAAGUACUUUAUCUAAAACAUUAACUUUUUUUCAAAA